GGUGGGGUUCCCGAGCGGCCAAAGGGAGCAGACUGUAAAUCUGCCGUCAUCGACUUCGAAGGUUCGAAUCCUUCCCCCAGCG
rnacentral:tRNA from 1 species